rnacentral:rRNA from 1 species
UACAGAGGGUGCAAGCGUUGUUCGGAAUCAUUGGGCGUAAAGGGCGUGUAGGCGGUUUGUUAAGUCAUGUGUGAAAUCCCCCGGCUCAACCGAGGAACGACGCAUGAAACUGGCAAGCUAGAGUACCGAAGAGGGGGGUGGAAUUCCGGGUGUAGCGGUGGAAUGCGUAGAGAUCCGGAGGAAGACCGGUGGCGAAGGCGGCCUGCUGGGCAGUUACUGACACUGAGGCGCGACAGCGUGGGGAGCAAACAGG